CAGUGGCCAUUUAAGCUGAUGCUGUUUUCUCUGUGGGGUCUGAUAUGCAAUGGCUGCAAACAGCAGUCUCCUUGGUAGUGUAUGCAGACUGUUGCUUAUAUAAAGGGUUCCCUAAGGGACAUUGAAACAGCU